rnacentral:lncRNA from 1 species
AAUGCUGGAUCCUUUAACCUACUGAGCCAGGCCAGGGAUCGAACAUGCACCUCUGCAGGGACCCAAGUCACUGCAGUCAGAUUCUAAACCCACUGCAUCAUAGUGGGAACUCCCCAUGAGUUGCUUUUGAUUGAACUAGAAACUUUUUCUUUCAUUCCUUCUUCUUCUUCUUCUUUUUUUUUUUUUUUUUUUUUUUUUUUUUUUUUUUGUCUUUUUAGGGCUGCUCUUCCUGAUGGAAGUUCCCAGGCUACGGGUUGAAUUGGAGCUAUAGCUCUAGGCGGCCUACACCACAGCCCCUGCAACUGGAGAUCUGAGCCACAUCUGCGACCUACACCACAGCUCAUAGCAACGCCAGAUCCUUAAGCCACUGAGCGAGGGAUGGAGCCCUUUGUCCUCAUGGAUACUUGUUGGGUUUGUUUACCGCUGACCCAUGACAGGAACUCCCCACAGACUUUUUCUUAAGACCAAAACAAACAAACAAAAAAUACCCCCAACUUUAAAACCUUGAAUACUCAUUUAAAACCUUGAAUCCUCAUUUAAAACCUUGAAUCCUCAUUUUGAAGAAAAGAGGCACAAAUAAUAGAAAAUCAGAUUUAGGAUACAUUCUACUUACUCAAUGGGUGAUAUUUUAGGGACUUUACCACACUGUAACUCCCUUUCUUUAGUUAUAAGAUGGGAAUAAUGCUAAUAGUGCCACCCAUUAGGCCUGUAGUGAGGGUUAAAUGAGAUAAUGCAUGUAAAGUACUUGAUAAUGGCUGACUCUAAGUAGUCAAUAAGUAAUUUCCAUUAUUGCUAUUAUUAGUUUAGAGAGCAUUGGGAGAAUUAACUUAGAGACUCAGUAGGAGCUUUGUACAUUAUCGAGUAUUAGGCAACCACAGCUUAACUCCACAGUCCUAUUAUUAACUCUGAUGUUGGACUCGGUUUAAAGUGAAAGUAAGGUGGGGCGAUUCCAGGCUAGAGCAGGAUCAAAUCUGGGAAAGGCAAGGCUGGUAGCCAGGUCUAGGGGUAAAGGGAAGAAGUGAGCAAAAGAGGGGUCAGGGAGGGAGGAGGCAGGGAAGGGAGGUUUGGAACCAAGGUCAGUUGAAGUUGUUCCACAAUUGUGCUAAGUGUUGCUCUUCCUCUGAAUCCUUUGCUGGGUGUAAUGACUGCUGUGAUAGAUGUGAAACCCGCUAAUGACCCAGCUUUUAAGCCUUCGUAAGGGUUUUGCAGAAAGUCCCUCUAUCCAGAGACCUCACGUCUGAGGCCGAACAAAGAAGGGAAGGGGGAAUUAUUCAGAUGUACAGGACACAUGGGGUUAAGCUACACCCAUGAUUGGUUGCCUGUGUCAUCCCAUUUUUGAGGCUGCUCUUGGUUCCCUUAAUUAUCUCCUUCAAAAAAAGCACUUUGAACAAAAAAAAACAAUCACCGUCAGUUGGCUUUUCCAGUUGUGCUUCAGAGGUGCGUUUGUGUCGUUUGCUCUGGGCCUGAAAUUGUUCCUCAGAUUGUCUCCCUGAAGGAGUUUACAGACAUUGUACAAAGAAAUUAAUUAAGUAGAUUUUCCAUUUGCACAGUUUUAAUGAAUAAAUGAUGUUCCUAUUUGUUUAUCGGCUUUCUAAUUAUAACACAGUUCAAAACAUCUUGGUUUCCUGAAUUCCAACAAUGUUAUUGUCAUGGUGCUGUUAUUGCUGCUCUCACUGUGCAGGUAACAUUAUUUUUUUUUUAGAUAGAUGCCAGGUGCUGUAUUCCAUAUUUAUUAUUAAAGUGUGAUCUGCAUAUUUUUCUCUUUUCAUGUAGCACUUAUCUGUAUAAGAGUCGAAAAUUAAAUGUAAUGCUUUCCUUUAAAGGGCCUGGAAGGAUUUCACCUCUGGGGAUUUGUAGUCUGGUGGGGGAAUUAAGGCUGGCCGACAUAAUUCAAGAUCCACAGAAGGAGGCUUGGGCCAGGGGCCCAGCCAGCAGGACCAAACCACUCUGCUCCAAGCAGCCACCAGGCCAUGAACUUGGCAGGAGGAUGGGUAGGUGGAAUCCUGGCAGGAAGGCAAAUGUCAGAAGCUCAAAGGCCAGCAGGUCAGGAACUCCAGAAAAGCAGCACAGAGGGAAGAGGACUCUAGAUCGGUGGCAGAGUCUUCUUCCUCUGUCCUAAAGGGUUGAGAUGGGCAGUCUGGAGAUCACAGGUGUCUGGGAUCGGCAAGGUUUGGAGGUCUGCAAAGGAACUCUGCAUUGACUGAGGUGUGGCCAAGGGUACCUGUCUCUCUCUCUCCACCCUGUCAGGAGGCAGAGCAGCAUCACUCUCUCUUUGCCCUUGACCAAGGGAGAGCCAUGGUCUGUAAAUCUGUCCUGACCUCAGAUAGGCAUUUGGGGACCAUCAAGUUUAACAACUUAUCAUGAGCCUUCCGUGAUGUGUCACCCAGGGGACCAGUACUAUAGGAACAUGCUUUUUCCCUCCCAGAGGUUAUAGUCUAGAGCCUAGAAACUGCUUUGGAAGACUUCUGGCCCUGACAUCACCUUUCAGCCUGGUGGAGUGUGCACCUAGUCUGUACCUGUUCAGAUACUGUGAACAUUAUCACUUUUGGAGUAUGGAGGCCACACUCCUCUUCCCCUUGUGCACCCCCCAUGACUCCACGGUGAAGAGAGGUAGCAUAGAUUAUAGCACUGUCAAUCUGAUUUUUUCUUUUUUCUUUUUUGGCCACCCUGUGGCAUAUGGAGUUCCAGGGCCAGGGGUCAGAUCCAAGCUGCAGUUGUGAUCUGAUCUCAGCUGCAGUUGUGAUCUGAUCUCAGCAACCCUGGACCCUUAUCCCACCAUGCCAGGGAUCAAACCUGCGUUCCAGUGCUCCAGAGAUGCCACCAAUCCUUAGAAAACCUGAAUCUGAAUGACUUCCUGGCUUACUAUCCAUCCAUUUUAUGAACAUUAAAGUCCUUACAGUUGGACUGCUUAGGUUCAAGUUCAGGUUCCAUGGUUGGACCAUCUGUACAGUGCUUCACUUGCUCAUCCUUGGUUUUCUCAUCUGUGAAGUGAAGGGGAUAAAUGAAAUAAUACAUGUGAAACUUUAAUUGGGUAUUAAAGUUAUUAGCUAAUAUCGUCAUUAGAGAGCAAUGCAUGUUUGCUUAAUAAAUAUAUUCUAAAUUCUGAUAGAAAUACAAAAAUGUGUCCAUUUUCUUUUUGCCUCUCUUCUCCCCCACUGGCAUAGUAGCCCCUGCUCCUCAAUUUCCUUGUCGUGUACUUAGGGGUAAUGGGACGGCAUGCUUGCUUCCCAGGAGCACCAAGAAGAUGGAUGUUUAUGUUUAUAAAGUUGCUCUGAGCGACCUGAGGAAAAUUGCAAGUGAAAAGUAUUGUUCUCAUCAUGAUUAUUAAUUGAUCUCCCAACCACUCACCGGUUGGAAUAUGACUGAUCCAUAGACUCUGGAGGAAGAUUUAUCACUUGCCUCCCCAAACCUGUGGAUGUGCCUUUCAUUAAAUGCAAUUAUCUCUCAGCAAAUGCACACAUCUCAAGUCCACCGCCUCUUACUCAAUGAAAUCAUUAAACCUCUUUACAGCGAGGAGCCGUCAAAAGCCACCUGAUGAAAAAUGGGUAUAGCUUGGUACUUAGGUUUCAUUAUACAAUAUCUACUCUUGGAGAGUUUCAAGGAUGUUGUUCUGUUGUCUCUGCUUUCUUGUCAUUUUUUUUUUUUUUUGGCUUUUAUUUUUUUAAACCCUGCUUUCCCUCCCUUGUUACUCUUUUAGGCUGUAUAGAAUACAAGUGUAGAGAUUUCUCUGUGUCUCUUCUCAGCACUACAGCACAGGCAGGAUUCUGCCUUGGGAAGGGGUGGGCAUAUUUGAGAGGAGGGUGGCAGAAUUGGCCACAUGUAGGGAUCACUCUGUAGAGCUUUUCCUUCUCGGAAUCUCUACCAUGAGAGAGAAUCCCUGAAGGAUUAUGAAUCUUUGUUUCCUAGAAUCCGCAAUUCAACACCUAAUUCAAUUUCCUUGGAGGGAUGGUCAGAGCCCUUUUUCAUUAGCUGUAAACAGACUUAGCAAGGAGAAGCUGACGUAUAAGAUGAGUAAAUUUCAAGGGCGGGAGAAAGAGGGGUGAGGGAGAGAUAAACCACAAAGAGGGGAAACCUCAGGGCCCACUGGGAAGGAAGGAGGGGUACUGAAGGAAGGAAAGAAGCCCCCUUCCAGGAAUAAAAUGUGCUUCUCCUGAGUUAGCCUCUGGCCAGUCUUGAUGGGUCUGGGGCAGGUGGCAUAAACCACAAGUAAAGAGCAGGUUCCAUGGCCUGAGUUCCACCAGCAAGAGAAGAUUUGAGGAUGCUCUGGAAGGCCUCAGAAUCAGGAACAAAAGUACCAUUAACAGAGGAGAAGGCAGAAAAUGGGGUCAGGGAGGAGAAAAGUGAAAGGAACAUCUGGGGGCGUCAAGAAAUGUAGACUCUCUGAGUUCCUGUCGUGGCUCAGCGGAAACAAAUCUGACUAGUAUCCGUGAGGAUGAAGGUUUGAUCCCUGGCUUUGCUCAACGAGUUAAGGAUCCAACAUUAAUCCUAAACUGUGGUGUAGGUCACAGACAUGGCUUGGAUCUGGCAUUGCUGUGGCUGUGGGGUAGGCAGGCAGCUAUAGCUUCGUUUUGACCCCUAGCUUGGGAACCUCCAUAUGCCACAGGUAUGGCCUUAAAAAGACGAAAAGGAAGGAAAGAAGGAAGGAAGGAAGACUCUUGAUUACAAGUCUGUGGGAUACCCUGUGUAUCUGGUAUACUGUCCUGUGUGACCAUGAUGGUAGAGGCACAGAGCACUACUGGAUGGUCCCUCAGCUGCCUCGUCAAGAUCAACUACAAGAAUUCCCUGGGGAGUUCCCAUCGUGGCGCAGUGGUUAACGAAUCCGACUAGGAACCAUGAGGUUGCGGGUUCGGUCCCUGCCCUUGCUCAGUGCGUUAACGAUCCGGCGUUGCCGUGAGCUGUGGUGUAGGUUGCAGACACGGCUCGGAUCCCGCGUUGCUGUGGCUCUGGCGUAGGCCGGUGGCUACAGCUCCGAUUCAACCCCUAGCCUGGGAACCUCCAUAUGCCGCGGGAGCGGCCCAAGAAAUAGCAACAACAACAACAACAACAA